rnacentral:rRNA from 2 species
AACGGCGGCCGUAACUAUAACGGUCCUAAGGUAGCGAAAUUCCUUGUCGGGUAAGUUCCGACCUGCACGAAUGGCAUAACGAUGGCCACACUGUCUCCUCCCGAGACUCAGUGAAGUUGAAAUGUUUGUGAUGAUGCAAUCUACCCGCGGCUAGACGGAAAGACCCCAUGAACCUUUACUGCAGCUUUGCAUUGAACUGUGAACCGAUUUGUGUAGGAUAGGUGGGAGGCAGAGAAGAGGCCACGCCAGUGGUCUUGGAGCCGACCUUGAAAUACCACCCUGAUUUGUUUGCGGUUCUAACCACGGACAGUGAUCCUGUCUUGGGACCGUGCAUGGUAGGCAGUUUGACUGGGGCGGUCUCCUCCUAAAGGGUAACGGAGGAGUACGAAGGUACGCUAGGUACGGUCGGAAAUCGUGCUGAUAGUGCAAUGGCAAAAGCGUGCUUGACUGCGAGAGCAACAACUCGAGCAGAUGCGAAAGCAGGUCAUAGUGAUCCGGUGGCUCUGAAUGGAAGGGCCAUCGCUCAACGGAUAAAAGGUACUCUGGGGAUAACAGGCUGAUACCGCCCAAGAGUUCAUAUCGACGGCGGUGUUUGGCACCUCGAUGUCGGCUCAUCUCAUCCUGGGGCUGUAGUCGGUCCCAAGGGUAUGGCUGUUCGCCAUUUAAAGAGGUACGUGAGCUGGGUUUAAAACGUCGUGAGACAGUUUGGUCCCUAUCUGCCGUGGGCGUUGGAAGAUUGACGGGGGCUGCUCCUAGUACGAGAGGACCGGAGUGGACGCACCUCUGGUGUACCGGUUGUCACGCCAGUGGCAUUGCCGGGUAGCUAAGUGCGGAAGAGAUAACCGCUGAAAGCAUCUAAGCGGGAAACUUGCCUGAAGAUGAGUCUUCCCGGAGGUAAAACCUCCCUCAAGAGUCGUCCGAGACCAGGACGUCGAUAGGUCAGGUGUGUAAGCGCUGUGAGGCGUUGAGCUAACUGAUACUAAUUGCUCGUGAGGCUUGAUCCU